GGGGCGGGCAGCUGGCAGUCGAACCCGGGACCCCUCCGCGUGGGGCCGGCGAAGCGCUCGGAGAAAGCUGUGAGGCGCCAGCAGUGGGCUUGGCCAGUGCCUGCGUCGCGCUGCCACCGGGCUCCUAAUUGUUUUUAAUUUGAGGAUAAUGAUAAUAUCCUGAUUUUCUACCCUACACUUUGGGUUCUGAAGUGACGUUUAUCUAAAAAUUGCUGCAUUAUUCCAGAGUAUCUCUGAGAGCCUUCCACAGAAGUAUGCGGAUCAUUUAUCUGGAGCUGCUGGUCAAAGAGGAAAAGAAGACAUUAAAUGGACAAGUAGAAGAUUGUGU
rnacentral:lncRNA from 1 species